rnacentral:rRNA from 1 species
UGCAAGUUCGAGCGGUAGAGAGAAGCUUGCUUCUCUUGAGAGCGGCGGACGGGUGAGUAAUGCCUAGGAAUCUGCCUAGUGGUGGGGGAUAACGUUCGGAAACGGACGCUAAUACCGCAUACGUCCUACGGGAGAAAGCGGGGGAUCUUCGGACCUCGCGCCAUUAGAUGAGCCUAGGUCGGAUUAGCUAGUUGGUGAGGUAAUGGCUCACCAAGGCGACGAUCCGUAACUGGUCUGAGAGGAUGAUCAGUCACACUGGAACUGAGACACGGUCCAGACUCCUACGGGAGGCAGCAGUGGGGAAUAUUGGACAAUGGGCGAAAGCCUGAUCCAGCCAUGCCGCGUGUGUGAAGAAGGUCUUCGGAUUGUAAAGCACUUUAAGUUGGGAGGAAGGGCAGUAACCUAAUACGUUAUUGUUUUGACGUUACCGACAGAAUAAGCACCGGCUAACUUCGUGCCAGCAGCCGCGGUAAUACGAAGGGUGCAAGCGUUAAUCGGAAUUACUGGGCGUAAAGCGCGCGUAGGUGGUUCAGUAAGUUGGAAGUGAAAUCCCCGGGCUCAACCUGGGAACUGCUUUCAAAACUGCUGAGCUAGAGUACGGUAGAGGGUGGUGGAAUUUCCUGUGUAGCGGUGAAAUGCGUAGAUAUAGGAAGGAACACCAGUGGCGAAGGCGACCACCUGGACUGAUACUGACACUGAGGUGCGAAAGCGUGGGGAGCAAACAGGAUUAGAUACCCUGGUAGUCCACGCCGUAAACGAUGUCAACUAGCCGUUGGGAGUCUUGAACUCUUAGUGGCGCAGCUAACGCAUUAAGUUGAC